GACGUAGGGGGCCAGCGUUGUUCGGAAUUACUGGGUGUAAAGGGUUCGUAGGCGGUGCGGCAAGUUGGGAGUGAAAUCUCUGGGCUUAACCCAGAGGCUGCUUCCGAAACUGCUGUGCUUGAGUGUGGGAGAGGCGCGUGGAAUUGCAGGUGUAGCGGUGAAAUGCGUAGAGAUCGGGAGGAAUACCUAUGGCGAAAGCAGGCUUCUGGGCCGUCACUGACGCUGAUCUGCGAAAGCUAGGGGAGCAAACAGG
rnacentral:rRNA from 1 species